rnacentral:snoRNA from 11 species
AGCCAGUGAUGACAAACAAACUUUUCUGACACCUCGUAUGAGAGCUGCACUGCGGCUCCUGAUUCUAACGCUGAUCUGAGGCUC